CCUACGGGAGGCAGCAGUGGGGAAUAUUGGGCAAUGGGCGCAAGCCUGACCCAGCAACGCCGCGUGAAGGAAGAAUGCUUUCGGGUUUGAAACUUCUUUUAAUAGGGAAGUGCAGAAGACGGUACCUCUUGAAUAAGCCACGGCUAACUACGUGCCAGCAGCCGCGGUAAUACGUAGGUGGCAAGCGUUGUCCGGAUUUACUGGGUGUAAAGGGCGUGCAGCCGGGAAGACAAGUCAGAUGUGAAAUCCCGCGGCUCAACCGCGGAACUGCAGUUGAAACUGUUUUUCUUGAGUACCGGAGAGGUCAUCGGAAUGCCUUGUGUAGCGGUGAAAUGCGUAGAUAUAAGGAAGAACACCAGUGGCGAAGGCAGAUGACUGGACGGCAACUGACGGUGAGGCGCGAAAGCGUGGGGAGCAAACAGGAUUAGAUACCCGAGUAGUC
rnacentral:rRNA from 1 species